rnacentral:misc_RNA from 1 species
UCCGAGUUGACCCCGGCAGUCUCCCAUGAGUCCCCGGCAUAACCCGCUGGCAACAUAGGAUGAGGGUUGCGCUCGUUGCGGGACUUAACCCAACAUUUCACGACACGAGCUGACGACAACCAUGCACCACCUGUACACCGACCUUACGGGGCACCCAUCUCUGAGUGUUUCCGGUGUAUGUCAAGCCUUGGUAAGGUCCUUCGCGUUGCAUCGAAUUAAUCCGCAUGCUCCACCGCUUGUGCGGGCCCCCGUCAAUUCCUUUGAGUUUUAACCUUGCGGCCGUACUCCCCAGGCGGAGAGCUUCACGCGUUAGCUGCGACACAGGGGGGCAAGCCCCCCAACGUCUAGCUCUCAUAGUUUACGGCGUGGACUAC